GUCGAGCGAGAAGGUGUAGCAAUACACUUGUAAAGCGGCGAACGGGUGAGGAAUGCAUGGGUAACCUACCCUCGAGUGGGGAAUAACUAGCCGAAAGGUUAGCUAAUACCGCAUACGUUUCCGGGACCUCGGUUCCGGAAAGAAAGCAAUACCGUGGGUAUUGCGCUCAUGGAUGGGCUCAUGUCCUAUCAGCUUGUUGGUGAGGUAACGGCUCACCAAGGCUUCGACGGGUAGCUGGUCUGAGAGGACGAUCAGCCACACUGGCACUGCGACACGGGCCAGACUCCUACGGGAGGCAGCAGUAAGGAAUAUUGCGCAAUGGACGAAAGUCUGACGCAGCGACGCCGCGUGGGGGAUGAAGGUCUUCGGAUUGUAAACCCCUUUCGGGAGGGAAGAUGGAGUGGGUAACCACUUGGACGGUACCUCCAGAAGCAGCCACGGCUAACUUCGUGCCAGCAGC
rnacentral:rRNA from 1 species